rnacentral:lncRNA from 1 species
GAUUUGAAACUAUCAGUUGAAAUUCUUCAAGAAUCGAGUAUUUAUCCCUAAGUUCCUAAAGAUCGAGAUCGAUCAAGACAAAUUGUUAGUAUCAAGAUCAAAGUAAUCCAAGAAUCCCCUUAUAGGAGACUCCGAAUCCUCUCGACUUGAAGUAAUAACCUUAGUCGUUGCCCAAGGUGGAGUUUCCACUUCGAACUCGA